rnacentral:rRNA from 1 species
CGUGCCUAAUACAUGCAAGUCGAACGCACUCUCGUUUAGAUUGAAGGAGCUUGCUCCUGAUUGAUAAACAUUUGAGUGAGUGGCGGACGGGUGAGUAACACGGUGGGUAACCUGCCCUAAGUGGGGGAUAACAUUUGGAAACAGAUGCUAAUACCGCAUAAAACCUAACACCGCAUGGUGUAGGGUUGAAAGAUGGUUUCGGCUAUCACUUUAGGAUGGACCCGCGGUGCAUUAGUUAGUUGGUGAGGUAAAGGCUCACCAAGACCGUGAUGCAUAGCCGACCUGAGAGGUAAUCGGCCACACUGGGACUGAGACACGGCCCAGACUCCUACGGGAGGCAGCAGUAGGGAAUCUUCCACAAUGGACGAAAGUCUGAUGGAGCAACGCCGCGUGAGUGAAGAAGGUUUUCGGAUCGUAAAACUCUGUUGUUGGAGAAGAAUGUAUCUGAUAGUAACUGAUCAGGUAGUGACGGUAUCCAACCAGAAAGCCACGGCUAACUACGUG